rnacentral:rRNA from 1 species
GGAAUCUUCCACAAUGGACGAAAGUCUGAUGGAGCAACGCCGCGUGAGUGAUGAAGGUUUUCGGAUCGUAAAACUCUGUUGUAAGGGAAGAACAAGUACGAGAGGUAAUGCUCGUACCUUGACGGUACCUUGCGAGAAAGCCACGGCUAACUACGUGCCAGCAGCCGCGGUAAUACGUAGGUGGCAAGCGUUGUCCGGAAUUAUUGGGCGUAAAGCGCGCGCAGGCGGCCUUUUAAGUCUGAUGUGAAAGCCCCCGGCUCAACCGGGGAGGGUCAUUGGAAACUGGAAGGCUUGAGUACAGAAGAGAAGAGUGGAAUUCCAUGUGUAGCGGUGAAAUGCGUAGAGAUGUGGAGGAACACCAGUGGCGAAGGCGACUCUUUGGUCUGUAACUGACGCUGAGGCGCGAAAGCGUGGGGAGCAAACAGGAUUAGAUACCCGGG